GUGAGGAUGUUGGGAAAAAGUUGAAGAAUUUCUUCCCAGAUUUGUGGACGAGAUUGUUCUCACUUAUGAUUUGUGAGGGAAUAGAUGUUUGGGAUCAGCGCAAUGAGAAGUAUGGAGGAGAUCUUCUCAGCCAUUGGAGAGCUACUUUGAAGCUUUGUAUCUUGGAAAAUGAUGAUUUGGCAACAGAGCAUUUCUUGAAAAUUUGCAGAUCAUUUUUCUCCCUUAUAGUUAUGAAGGCUGAUGAAGUCGUAGCCCUUUCAAGUCUUGUGAACACGAUCAAUGAACAAAUUAA